AACGAACGCUGGCGGCAGGCUUAACACAUGCAAGUCGAACGCGUGCAGCAAUGCACGUUUGGCGCACGGGUGAGUAACGAGUGGAUAUCUGCCUUUUGGUUCGGAACAACCCUGUGAAACUGGGGCUAAUACCGGAUGGUUCCUACGGGAUAAAGAUUUAUCGCCAAAAGAUGAGUCCGCGUCUGAUUAGCUAGUUGGUUAGGUAAUGGCUCACCAAGGCGACGAUCGGUAGCUGGUCUGAGAGGACGAUCAGCCACACUGAGACUGGGACACGGCCCAGACUCCUGCGGGAGGCAGCAAUGGGGAAUAUUGGACAAUGGGGGCAACCCUGAUCCAGCCAGGCCGCGAGAGUGAUGAAGGGCUUCGGGUUGGAAAGCGCUUUUGACGGGGACGAUGAUGACGGUACCCGCAGAAUAAGCCCCGGCUAACUUCGU
rnacentral:rRNA from 1 species